CACAUAUAUACAUUCUUUUUCUCAUACUGUCUUCCAUCAUGAGACUGAUAUAGUUCCCUGUGCUGUACAGUAGGACCUCACUGCUCAUCCAUUCUAAAUGUAAUAAUUUGCAAUGGAAUAAUUUGCAUCUAAAUAUCUAUCUGUUGGUACAGAGGACCAAUGAAUAUGAAGAGGGCUAAGUUUCUCUUCUAAAAAAUCUUAAGCCCUUUUUUUAGGAUGUAGGUCUACGUACAGAGACAAAUUACCGUGGACUCCAAAGCAAUGGUUCUCAGCAUUGGCUGUGUCUUACAAUCACGGGGUAAUUAAAAAUCCUGACACUUGGGUAGGCCUAUGAUAUCAAAAUUGAUUGUUGAGACUCAGGAAUCUGUGUUUUUUAAAACUCUCUAGGUAUUUUUUAAGUAUAGCCAAGUUUGAGAACUACUACCUUAGAGAGAAGCACACGGAAGAGGGAGGUCUGUUUGAAGAUGAAUAUUAAAGGACGAUUAGGCUUUUGACAGGCAGGUAAAAGAAAGAAAGGAUAUCAAGAAGAUGGCAUAGCAUAAGCAAAGGCAUGAGAAUACAGAAGUGCUUGAAGUGUUUGGGAGAGUUUUGCUGAAAGGGAGAAUUCCUGAAUGGCCAGCAGAGAGCUGAGCUUCUGCAUGUGGAAAGAUGUAUGGCUGAAAGGUUGGUUGGAGCCAGUGAGUCCUGGGCUAUACUGCAUUUAUUUUGUGAGUAUGUACUGCCAUCCAUCUGAUCUGUUGUUAAAAUUGACAACCUGAUGAACCAAGCUCCUGGGCUCAGUAUAUCCAAAAUGAUAUUUCAUCAUAGAACACUAUUCCACUGCAAUACUCUGAACAAAAGCAUCAGUUAAGUUUGGGAAAUACUGCCUGUGACACUCAUAGUCCUCUUAGAUAUUACAAGGAAUAUUAGAAUUUUUGCAGUAAAACAAGUUUAUUAACUCCAGUAUGCCCCCAAAUAUAUUUUAUUUCCGUUUGAUGCUUAUUAGUAUUUUCAGAAAAUAAUGUUUCAAGGUACAAAUUUUUGUUCCCCUGAAUUUUCCCCCAAUUGGCUUUUUAUUUUUCUGAAAUUGUUUUAGCUAGUAUUUUUUCCUGCUUUAAUUAUUUCCUUUCUUAUUUAUAUUUUCUAGAAUAUAGUCUGACCCCCGGACAUUUCUCCAAAGUUAACAUUUUUAUCUACUUUUCGAGAGGCAUAGGCAAAAAAAGUUGCCUAGUUAAGAGAAUAGUUAAUGUUCUAUUACAUAACUGGGAUGGUGUGAAUUGUAAAAAAAGGAAAAGAAAUAUUUUGAAAAGAUUUGAGAAAUGAUGAACAAUGUCACAUUAUUGAAACAGCUGAGGGCAAAUUAAGAAAUAACAGAUGGGAGUUAUGUGUGGAUUAUCACACCCAGGUAUCACUGUACACACAAGUUUGGCAGCGUUUUACCCAGCUCUUGUGCUUUUUAAAAAAGCACUGCCCUUGAAUUCACGCUUGAUGAACUGAAGACUAUUCAAAAUCUACAAAUAACAUCAGUUUGAUUAGUGAUGGUUUUAUGCUUGUGUAGAAUCCAAUAUCAAAGGUUUAAAAAAUUGUUUUUACAUUUGUUAUACUAUUCGCUCACACAGUAUCCUUAUGAAAUAGAAGGAAAACUAUAAAUCCCUAUUUCAUAGGUGAAGAAAGAAAUUGAAACUCAAGUGGUCACAGCAAGUCAGAGUACUGAUGUUAAGAACAAGCAAUUAAGUGUGGCUUCCAUUACAGAUUGUAUCUUUAUAGCAAAUAAUGUUAGGAGACCUUACUGUAUAUGUCAGGCCAGCUAUACAAUUGUUCCUCAAGGUAUAACCCAUUCUCACUUGGCAACGAAAUCACUUGAAUCAUUAAAAAAAAUUUAGCUACUCAAAAUUAUUUAAAAUAUAUGUUAUACAUGAGCAUUUUCUUCUCUAACAGUGAAGAAACAAAACAAACAAAAAAAACAAAGUAAAUUACCAUGUGUUGUUUGAGCCACAUAAUUUACUGUGAUGACUGUACAGACAGAGGCUUGACAUGUCACACAUGAGGCCCUCACUAUGAAUUUUAGGAUAUAGAAUACUGCCUAUAGAAGAAGUAAAGAAAGAGGAGGAAAUAGAAAGAUAAAGUUCACUCAGUUACUUUGAACGUAUUUCUAAACAGAAGAGAUUUGUUUCUACCAUUAUAAACUGCAUUUCACUAAGUAACAGAGACUCUCGCAGAUCCUGAAGGAUGUGGCUUCUAGAUUGUGUAAGACCACAACUAUAUUUCACUGUGACUUCAUUAUGAUUUCAUUAAUAGAAAUGAUUAAAAUAUAAUUUGACAGUAGCCACCUUAUUAAUCUCUUUUAGGCUUUACUUUCUGUAAACAGUCUAAUGUUUUGAUGGCAUUUUAUUUUAAUGUAUUUAAGAUCAUUCUUGAGUGCCAUAAAAAUUCCAUGUUUUGUUAUUUUAAAAUAUUUUACUUUAUUGUAAUUUUUUUUCUAAAAUAUCCUACUAAGAAUCUAUUUUCUGGAGGGAAAAUAAAUCCCACAUUCUAUUAGGCAAACAAUACAAUACUUUAUAAAGCUCUUUUCUCUGUCUUAAGAAUCAAAUAUUUAUAAAAUUGUAGUAAAGGAUAUUUAUUUUUGUGGUACAGAGUGAUAAAGACACAAUUUAUUAAAAAGACAUUGUAUUUCUAGAAUAGAUCUUUUAUUUCUCAAUAUUUCUUUAUUUAAACAAUGGAAAGCACUUUAUGACGACAUUCCCAGGAGCUAACUAGCUAUUGUUACUAAAUAACCAUUGACCUAAACCUUCUAUAAAAAUUCUUAUUAAUUCUGUAUACCAGCUUUUAGACAAACUCAUACAGAAGUUGUAUUGCUAAAGGUGAAUAAUUUUGAUCAGUGUGUAUAAUAAAGAAAAUUUAUUUUGCUUAAUCUUUCUUUUUACCUACCAAGACUUUGUUCCCCUCUCUCUUAUUAGCCCAGUUGGAUAUUGAGCCUCACUUACCCAUUUAAUGGAGGCUAUGUCAGUGCUGCCACUGGUUGAGGACCCUAGUUUAUAUCUCAUUUCUUAAGUUGUUUCUCUUUUCAAUGUCAAAAAAAAGUACAGUUGUUGCUCCUUCCCAUUCUCUGCUUGUUUCUUUCUUCCUCUCCUGCCAGACCCCGUAAUGCUUAGUUUCCUGUGUGAGAAGAGUUUAUUACAUACUCAGAAAACUAAUGGUUAUGCCCAUUAGUGUGUUAUCCUGAGAUGUUCUACCUCCAAGUCUAAACAUGAGAACAAUUAAGGCCACCUUAGAGCUAUGAGUCUAAAUCUGAAGAGACAGUGGCCUUAGGACUUCGACUUGGAGUAUCAGUUAUGGAUUUUGCCUUAAAAGAUUGAGAUAUUAAGGGAAAGGUCUGAAAUUCCAUGUUUAAGACUUAACUUAGACUAGAAUGCUUAGGUGACAUAUACGUAACUUAUUGACUAACUUGAAGAUGCUCAUUCUUUUCCCUUAGGUUUUCUACUCCAUGAAGUUACAGUUCAGUAUCUCUUUCUUCCACUCAUUAUUCUUUAAAAUAUAGGCUGUCUGUUGCUUCCAUAUCCUAUCAUUUACUUUUCCAUUCCCUUGCAAAUCUAUAUACUUUCAUAAUCUAAACUAUCUUCUCUGCUAAGUGCUUCAUAAAUUUACAUUUGUAGAUCUCAGCUAUAUCCUGAGUGACAUCUGAAUGGCCUCCUGAUACCUGAUAUUAAUCUAUACCAAAGAGAUUUAUUAUAACACACGCUUAGUCUAUAGUAAGUUCAGGAGCAUAUUGUGUAUGUCUCUCCAAACUUAGUCUCUUGCAGUACUAGAGUCCCAUGAGAUUUAGUUGUUUUAUGUACACAUAUACACACACAUUUUACUACACUAUUUCCUAUAACCUUAUUAGGUUUAUGUAAAAUGUAAAUAUUAAGAGGAUGAUAUGAUAGUGUUUCCUAAGCUGACAGUGGAACCCUCUUUGUGUUAAAUAUCUACAAAGAUAUUAAAAUCGCCAGUAAACUGUUGUUUGAGAAAUAUUUCUUAGAUGAAUGGUCUAAGCCUAGUGCUUUGUUGAUAGCUGUUAAGGAAGGCAUAAAAUAUUCCCCUGUCCUUUUACUCCUCUUGUCACUUGGACUUGAAAUCUCAAUUAUUUUUGAUACCGCUCUACUUCUUGUUUUCCAUAACAAAACAAAUAUCAAGUCCUUUCAGUUACGUCCUUACAAAAUUACAUAUUUCUCUCCACUUUCCUUUUUGACUUUUUAUAUCAAAACCUCUUCCCCCUCUCUAAAAUGGUAUGAUAUUUUCCAUAUUAAACCUCUAAUCUCCACCCCUCCCUGUCACAGUUCCUUGUUUCUAGAGUUAUCAAAUUAGUCUUUAGAGCUUUGGCAUGGUUAUGUCACUACUUUAUUCCAUAAUUUGCAAUGAUCCUUCAUUUUCAAACAAAUGAAAUAUUUACUCUUAUGCAUUCCAAACACUUUAUACCUACUUUCCAUUUACUUUGUCUCCUUCCUGAGACAGGUUCUAGGCUACAGUCUUAUGCUUCCCUCCCUGAGCCUAUGUCCACUCUGUUUCCUCUGCUUCAAUAUUUAUCCUCCAUCUCCUGUCUGAACUUACUCUCUGUCCUCCUCUAGGCCUCAAGGCCUAAUUCAAAUACUCCUCUUUGCAAAGCAUUCCUUCAGUCUUCCAGCAAAAAUAAGCUUCUCUUCUCUUGGGCUUUAAUGAUGGUAAUACUUUUUUUCUUGUAGCUCUGUAUUUCUGAGCAUAUUUGCAAGAAAUUGGUAUCAUUUUUUUGGCCACGCUUGUGGCAUAGGAAAGUUCCCAGACCGAGGAUUGAACCCAUGCCAUAGCAGCAUCCCAAACUGCCACAGUGACAAUAACCAAUCCUUAACGUGCUGAGCCACAAGAUAACUUCCCCAAAAAAUGAUAUAAUUAUUUAUUAUUUAGUGCAUAUCGUAUCUUCCUCUAGUAUGAAUUCGUUGAUAACUGAGACUUUGUCAUAUUUACAGAAUUAUAAAAUAAUCAGAUUGAAAAAACCUGGCAUGUAGUGCAACUCUCUUAUUUCAUAGAUGAAUAAAUAGAAAACUUUAAGACAUGAAAUGUUUUGACCAAGUUCUCAUGACUACAGAGUCAGGACAGAGUCAGGACUAGAACACAAGCCUUAACUCUGAAUCCGGUGCUCUUUCUAAUCUAAUUUCUUUGCACUCUUAUUCUUCCCGCCCAAUGUAAUAAUAUCUACUAAACAUCCACUGUGUUCCAUGGAUUUUUACCUACAUUGUAGCUAAUCGUAAAAGUAAUACUAGAAUAUGGGCAUUCAUAUCCUUAUAAUGCAGAUAAAGAAACUGAAGUUCAGUGAAGUUAAAUAAGUUGCUUGGGUAGAAAAGUUUGAAAUCAAAUCUAGGUCCCAGGGCCUAUGCUCUAGGGUCAAAGAUUGAGAAAAGGAGGGCUAUAUAGUUUAAGGUGGGAGUUUGGAGUAGUUACGUUAGGACCCUGAAUUAGAUUGGCACCUAAGGACUAAGUCUCAGGUUUUGAAAUGAUUAUAUUUAGUUGUCAGAUAAUGCAGAUUAAAAUCAUAAUAAAGUGUAAUGGUGUGCCUUCUGGAAUGGUUAAAAUAUGAAAACCAAAAAUUUACCAAUGGCUAGUGAUGCUUGCAGUAGAAUUUCUCAGCCUCGGUACUAUUGACCUUUAAGACCAAAUCUUUGUUGCAAGGGACUGUUGAGCAGCAUCUCUGGUCCCUAUCCACAUGAUGGCAGUCACAUCCCCACAGCUGUGAUGAUGAAAUAAGUUUCCAGGCAUUAACAUAUAUUUCUUGUGCUAUAAAACCAUGCCUAAUUGAAAAUCCACUGAUUUAGAGAAAUCAAAACUCUCAUACAUGAUUGGUAGGACUGAUAACUCUUUGCAGUAUCUGCUAAUGCUCAAUGUAUGUAUACCUGGAAGAUUUACUCCUUAGGUGUUUACUCAAGACAAGUACAUACAUAUCACAUGUCUAUCAAAUGCUUGUACUAGCAUGUUUUUAAAAGCACAGUUUAUAAUAAACUAAAACAAAAUACCAUCAAAUGCUCAUCAACAGUAGAAGGCAUAAAUACAUUGUGUACAAUACUAUAAAGUAAUGAGAAAUAAUGAACCAAAAAUACAUGCAGUAAUAUGGGCAACUAUCGCAAAGAUCUAUCGAAUGAAAGAGGCCAGACACAAAAGAAUACAUAUUGUAUGAUUCCAUAUAGGUAUUAAAAAACAAAAAGUGGUUAUCUUUGGAAUCCUUGGAAGAGAGCAUGAGAGAAGAUUCUGGGCACUGGCAACAUUCUUUUUAAUUAAUUAAUUAAUUUAUUUAUGUAGCUCCUGUUUAACAUGGGUAUAUUUAAUUUUCAAAAAUUUAUCAAGCUAACACUUAGAAUUUAUGUAAUUUUCAGUAUGAAUGUUAUAAUCUAGUAAGAAGUUAGAAAAAAAAACUAGAGCAUUUUCUAUUUGGGGAAAGACACCCAAACUCCAUAUAACUGAGUACAGAUAAAGCUUCAGAGAAAACCCAGUGGCAGUGCUAGAGCAGCUGUGAGGGGGAUACACUUUGUAAAUGACUCUAGCAUGGUGUGGGUGGGCAUAAAAGGAAUGAAAAACAGUUCUCUUUUGUGCCCUGUUAAUGGAAAUCUAUCAAAGAAAUUAUAAGUAAAUGUAGAGAACAAUUAGAAGUUGAUGGGCAUACAUUUAAUUUUUAAAUCUUCUAUGUUUAUCCACAUAUGUUGUGAGUCUCAUUAUUCUACAUUAUUAAUGAAACUGAUUAUACUAUUCUCAUGAAGUCAAGUUGGAGAAAUGGAAAUGCUUUACACAUAAUGACACAGACCAUGUGAUCCCAGAGGCACUUGAAAGCUGUUGGAAUCAAUCCUGAAGAAACAAAGACAUGAACAGCAUUUAUUGUGAAAUGGGAUUUCGUAAAUCUCUGCCAAACUUAACUUGAAAGCUUUUUCUAUAUAUUUUUAUAUCUGUUGCUUCAUGUGAAGAAAAUAGUUUAAAAAUAAAAUUAGUAAAAAAUUAUCUUUUGAAUUACUCUGAGUGAAGAUAGUCUGACAAAUCUAGCUGUACUGUCUACUGAAGAUGAAUAUGUGAAGAUCAAUUUUGACAGCUUUGUUGAAAAUGUGCAGAAGUUAAGGCUCAAAACAAAAACUAUAGGGAAUUCCCGUUGUGGCUCAGUGGGUUAUGAACCCGACUAGUAUCCAUAAGGAUGUGGGUUUGAUCCCUGACUUAGCUCUGUGGGUUAAGGAUCUGGCAUUGCCAUGAGCUGUGGCAUAGGUCACAGACAGGGCUUGGAUCCUUCAUUGCUGUGGUUGUGGCAUAGGCCAGCAGCUGUAGCUCCGAUUCAGUCCCUAGCCUGGGAACUUCCAUAUGCUGUACCUGCAGCCCUAAAUUGUCAACCCCCAAAAUCCAAAACUAUGAUAUUAUUGAUUUCUUUAAUAGAGUACCCUGUAGAUGUAGUUUUGUUGCCUUUAAAAAAUCAGUCCAUCGCUUCUUCAUUUUUCUGUAAUAUCUCUAAUAUAUUUUAAAAAUUAUUUAUAUUUGUCUAUGUACAUACCAUACAAUAUCAAUUAGAGAAAAUGUUUACUAUCUACAUUUCCUUUUCUGGCCAUUAUUAAUAUUUGUCUCAUUUCAUGAUUAUUUCCAGAAUAAUUUUUCAUACAUAUUAGGGAUGUAUUAGAAAACGAUUCAGUCUGAAUGUCCAACAUGCUAAGUAUGCCACUGAAUAUAACUAAGAGUAUUUUUUUAAAACCUUGAAUGAUUGUGGGAAACAACUUUUUUUUUUUGGUUUCCGCCAGAGUUCUGAACAUAGCAGUUGAUAAUACGUACUUAUUGAAUGAAAAGACAAAUGAUGAAUGAAUAAUAAACAAAUGCUUAAAAUAAGCCAUGUUUCGUCUGCUAGCAUUACUGGAAAUUAGUAUUUUUACUCUGAGCCCAAGAACCUAAAAAUAAUUUGACUGCUAAUCAAAAUUACUUCUUUAGGUUUAUGGCUGAAGUUGAAAACUGCUAAAUAAAUGCAGUAAACUUCAGAAUUUUAAAAAUCUGCUUCCCUAAAAAUACUCUGUAAAAGAUUUUGGAAUUUUGGGUCUGGCUUGAGCUUUUGUUUUUUCAUCUGUAAAUUUAGGGUAAUAAUAGGAGUUCCAUAUAGGGUUGAAAUGGUGGUAAAGUGAGGCAAUAUAUAGAGAAGACUUAGUGCUAAAAAUAGUCCAAGCAUUUGAUAAAUAAUAGCUACUGUGAUCACACAGAAACUUAAGAUAUUUUUGCUAAAUAUAUUCUAACCUAAAAUGGGUCCAAAAAACUUCCCACUUGAAAAGAGAAAAUAUUUAUAAGUCAACGUUUUUUACUUUAACAAAUUUGAGGACACUAGGAUUUGGUGACUAUAGCUUUUGAUAGAAUUGAGUGAAAGCCAGAAAAUGAUGAAAAUCGGAAAGAAAUUAAAGACAUAAAGUGAGAGAAAGGAACCAAAUCUUCUCUGAGAGACGUAGUUACGUUUUCCUGCCAGCUAAGUUUAUGUCAGGAGCAUUUAACAAAAUGCUGUCUAGAACGUAGGCUCAUGAGUUGCAGGGUUCCAGUGAUUCUGGUGGCGUUCUGCAGUGUAGGCAGUAGUAGGCUCCCUUUCAGUAGCAGCUCUGACUUCCUGUUCUCCUCAUAUAAAUGAUACUGGAGAAGUAGAAGAAUAAUAAUUUAUUUAUAUCUUUAAUUUCCUAUGUAUUUCUCAUUUUAUCCUAGGAUAGGGCUGUACCACUCUAUCUUAUAAAUUUGUAUACUUUCAAAACUCUAUUCUCAGUCAUGCUGAUGCCAUCUGCAGAUAUAGUUGCAACAUCCCUUGACUACCACUAAGUGUACACCAGUUUUGGGUGAUUCAUUCUGUUGUCAUUUGGGUAUUAUUGACCCAUAAGUAGACUAUCUUUACUGCUAGCUUGUUUUGAUAAAAACGAUAGUCCCCUCUCAUAUUUUUCCUUUGGGCCACUACAGAAAUAACAAAUCUAACUACGUAGGGUAUUUCUAUAAUUCAUACACAUUCCUCUUCUACUGUUUUAAAUUUAAAUCUGAUAUAAAUCCUGGGGGAGGAGGCAGCAUCUAUUAUUAUUCCUACACAUAUUACGAGUGAGAUUAGUAUAGGCUUGAGAUUGUAAGUGCAGAAUCAGGAGUUACAUGGUUAGUAGGCAGUGAAUUUCCAUCAAGAGCACUUUAUAUUUUUGAUAGAAGUUUGUAGUGAAAAUGCUGUUUGUAGUUGAACAGUAUUGGAUUGAGAAGUUGCAGUAUACAAUUGAUAAAAGCUAACUAGGAAUUUGAAUUUUAUUUCAAAACCAAGCCUGGAUUACCAUAUUUGCUUUUUCAAAAUUUCUGUUGAACAAAUAAUCAAUUUAAGGGAGUGGUUUUAUUAUUACAAUAGUAACUCCACAAGUGAUUAGUAAGCAACUCUGAAUUUUGUGGGACACAUUUUUCACCAGUGCAGUAGUUCUGUAGGGUUGGGGAUAGGGGACAGGUUGGCCACGAGUAGAGUGGCAAUCAGUAAAGAUAUAUGCCCUAAUCUGGACCUUGACAAGCAGUCUUCUUUUAUUUUCAUUUGUAAACAUUGUGAGACUAAACAGUUCAUUUUUCUCUUGACUUCUCAGUCCUUGAUCACUAGCCUAAACUUAUAAUGCCUCUCUAUUAUGUGAUGUACUGAAAUUCAAACUCCCCCACUGCUUGCAACUUGGUGAAUUUCAUUUAGAGAUGUUAUUCUGUAAACCAAAAUGGAAUAGGUUGACAAUUUAAAAAUCAUCGUGGGCUGGCAGGAGAGCUAUCUGUAGCUUCAAAUAACCUAUUACAAAUUUCUGUUUUCCUAGCUCACUGAUCAGCAAAGUCACAGGAUGACUUUUUAGUAGUUUACUUAAAUGUUGAUCCGUAACUUUCUGAUUCAGAAAUUUAUCUUCCUAGAAGGGAGAGUGUCUUCAGAAUUAUCCAGUAAAGAAUAAUCUUAUUGUCAGAUCUCUUUUCAGUUUUUCAACUUUCAAAUUCAAUCAUGUAAUUUAUAUACUCGGUUAAUUGUAGUAGUUACAUUUUCUGGAUUAGAACUGAGUACCAGUUAUCAAAUUUAAUCCCCUAAAUUUGAACUCCCUAAAUUAAUUAGAUUAGAAUUAUAUAAUGCUAAUGUCAACUUUUUGCCUGUAGAGUCAUGAAAUAGAAAAUACAAAUGAUAAGUAUUAUAAUCUUAUGUCUAAAAAUAAGAAUGAGCAGUCGAGUAACUGAAUGGUACUUGAAAUCACAGUAUAUAAUCAGCUUCAUGAUCUUUUAGAUUUAGAAACUAUAUUAGAUAUUUAAUACUAUCCAAUCCCUUAAUUAUAUUACUCUUAAUUGAAUACUUUUGGUUGGGGGGGGGAGGAUCUCAAAUAGAAUUUAAAAGAAUUUACAAUGUUAAUAGCUCAUAGCAUUGUUUUGUAAUGUUUUCCAACCCCUGACUCUUUGCCAGCUUCAAUUCACUAUGUAAAUGAUAGCUGAUUUACUAUAGUAGAGGACUGUGUUGCCAGGAUUUUAUAAUACAAAGAAUGCCAGAAUCUUUAAUUUUUCUAAUGCUACAGUAUAUGAUAGAUUAAGAUAGAUAAGAGGAGCUUUAAGAUCAGAAUACAUGCUUAUCAAGUGUUUCAGUUUUCAUGUUUCUAAUUACAAAUUAGUUACACACAGAACAUAAAAACCACUUGAUUUUAUAAAUUGAGACAUAUUUUUAGAUUGACUUCUCUUCAUGUAUUAGCUAAGCUGUCUUGGUAUAAACUGUGCACAAUUGCACAUUUGUAAUGCACAUUUUAAUUGUGUUUGCAGACAUAAAUUUAUAGGCAUCAGAAAGAUUUUGGUUCUUUGAUGUUCAUCUAAUGAAUGAAUGACACUGAAUUCAGAUACCUUAUAAAGACACCAUUCCCAAGCAGCAUGAAUGUACUGCCUCCUAAAGUUAAUCUAAAACAUAUCCAAAUCCACAAAUAGUAAUACAAGAUAUUAAGAUGGGAAGCAUCACAAAUUAGUAGGUGACUCUUUGCCAACAAGUAAUACUAAAGAAAUACUGUGAAUUUAUUGAGAAGAAGGAUUAAGGACUAAGUGGAAGAGUCAAGAAAGACUUUGUGAAGGAGGUAGAAAAUAGUUUGCACCCUGAAAGGGAGUGGGAGCCAGAUAGUUGAAGAAAAAGUGGAUUAGACUUUUUAGUGGGGGUAUGCUUAGCGAAUAGACCAAACACAUCAGAUGUUUCAGGCAUGGUGAGUUGGCUGUUGUAACUGAGGUUAAGGAUUAAUUUAAUUGGAUUUACAUAGUGUUUCUCAAUUCAUUGAGAACAGCAUGAACAGCAUGCAGUUCAUCUGAAGGCCCUGUUAAAAUGUAGAUCCUAAAUCAGUAGGUCCAGGCUGGGUUGCAAGAUUCUGCAUUGCCAAGAAGCCCUUAAGUAAUGCUGUUGCUGAUCUUCUUUCUGGACCACAUUUAAACAGUGGAGUGUUAGAUUUUAUCUCCAACCCUUCACUUUAUAAUUUUGCUUGGAAAAUUUAAUUAGAACUUAAGCACAGAUGAGGCUUGAUUCUGCCAUGGUUUCAAGAUGUUCUGGUUCUACUUUCUAUCUUCCUGCCUCUUCAUGUAGUUUCUGACAUCUGUUAGAUUGGAUUUUAUCAUCUCAUUCCUGGUUUCUUCCUCAGUACUUUUUUUAGAUCAGUUCUAGUAGGCUCUUCUUUGACACCUGUGUGAUUGCUCACCCUGCAGUGCCCUAGUGCUUUCUUCCUGAUAUCUUCUAGGAUAGCUAACCCUUACCUUUUGUUUAGCACCUCAUUUUGAAUCUCCUCAUCUAUGCUCUGUCUCUGGUCUCCCCAGACACCAUGCCCAUGUUCCUGGUCUGAAACUGUCUAUAAAGUCAAAAGGAUAAUGACACUAUUUAUUAUCCUUAAUAGAAUGAAAUUCUAUUAAUUACUGAUUAGUUAAAACAUUAUUUAAUUAAAACUCUCCCCAAAGGCUUAUGAUUUCCAGUCAAGAAAGUUGAAUGACAGCAGUAAAAAUAUAUCUGUUCCAUUCUGUAUUUGAAUUUUGUUUCUGGAUAUGAGGAACUUGAAAAAUUGACUAAAAUUGUAAUUGUCAGAUGAGAGAAAAAUUUGGACUUCUAUUUUUUUUAAUAUAGAAGGGUCUUAUGACCUUUGGCAUGCCAUAGGAGUCACCUCCCUUGAAACUUAGUUUAUGGGAUAUAAAGAAUUUUAUUUAUUCUCAUAGUGAUUUCCUCUGCUCUUCUCCUGUGCCAUUUGUCAAAAGAAAUCCAAGAAAGUAAAAGGUUUGGGGCUUGGAUGAACUUCUAUCUGUAGUAUAGAACUUGGCUUACUCUAUAUUUACUGAAGCCAUUUUCAAACCAUACUUUUUCCUUGUAGAAUAUGAAUUUUUAAAACAUGUGUUCUUGUUGAUAUGUGAUACCCCAAGUUGAAAUUGGCCUUUUGUCAUAUUCUGUGCAUGAACGCCUUGGAGGAUGUACAGUUUUUUCAUGUACCCUUAUGAUUCAUAAGGACUUAUAGCAAAAAGUGAAACCAGUGGAAUAAUUAAAACUCCCCUUUAGUAGUAAUUUAUGUUUUGCGCUAGACUUGGAAGGCCAGAAAUGCUCUGACAUUUUGAGAAAAGUGGUAUUUUCUACUAAGCAUUGUGGAAAAAAAUCUCUGUGGCAGGUUUAGAGCAGGUGGACCAAGAGAGUGCCUGCCAUUUUUCAUCUCAGCAAGUGGUCCUUCUCUUGCCUGCUGUUGUGGACUCAGCUUCCUAACCUUUUCCCCAACCUGUCCUUCCUUUCAUUAUAUCAAACUCAAAAUAUAUAAUUUCAAUUUCUCUUCUUGCUGCAAGAGAAUGAUUCCUUUGAAUAAAAACAUUGUUACACUUAGUCCUUUAGUGGCUUAAUUUGAAAACUCCCCUUGGGUUUGCCCUUGAAAGUCACCUGAAAGGCUAAUUAGGGCCACAGCACCUAGGGUGACAUCCAGAGACUCCUGCAAGUAAAGCUGUAAGGAGGUGUGAGUCAGUCAUCAUAUGCAAGCACUGAAAGCUCUUUCUGCUGCCAUAAACAAAGGCACGUCAUCAUGCAGCAUUAUUCCUACAGAAUUUAUCUAGAAAUUAUUAUAAUUUAAAAUGGAACAAGCAUUUUUUACUUGAUAGACGUAUAUUCUAAAAUGUAAAAAUCUGGAGUUCCCAUCAUGGCGCAGUGGAAAUGAAUCUGACUAGGAACAAUGAAUGAGGUUGCCGGUUUGAUCCCUGGCCUCGCUCAGUGGGUUAAGGAUCUGAUGUUGCCAUGAGCUGUGGUGUAGGUCGCAGACGCAGCUCCCAUCUGGCAUUGCUGUAGCUCUGGUGUAGGCCGACGGCAACAGCUCCAAUUAGACCCCUAGCGUGGGAACCUCCAUAUGCCGCAGGGGCAACCCUAAAAAGAGAAAAG